rnacentral:tRNA from 1 species
UGCGGAGUGGAGAAGUAGUUAUCUCGCCGGUCUCAUAAACCGGAGACCGUGGGUGCAAAUCCCACCUGCCGCAACCA